GUUUUUGGUUGUACAUUGUACAAUAGACAUUCCAUUACAUUCAGAGUGUGUGAAAGUUACUCGAGUACCAGGGCGUUUGACAGCCCAUGCAAAGCGGUACUCAGAGUCAUAGAUGCACAGGUGUGUGGGGUUUGCGACUUUGUCGACGUGCACAUGUGUCUCCACCAGCACAGAUGACAAAGCCGACUUUGAAGUUUCAUUAAUGAUCCUUCCGCAGGUUCACCUACGGAAA
rnacentral:misc_RNA from 1 species